CAGUCGAGCGGUAGAGAGAAGCUUGCUUCUCUUGAGAGCGGCGGACGGGUGAGUAAUGCCUAGGAAUCUGCCUGGUAGUGGGGGAUAACGUCCGGAAACGGACGCUAAUACCGCAUACGUCCUACGGGAGAAAGCAGGGGACCUUCGGGCCUUGCGCUAUCAGAUGAGCCUAGGUCGGAUUAGCUAGUUGGUGAGGUAAUGGCUCACCAAGGCGACGAUCCGUAACUGGUCUGAGAGGAUGAUCAGUCACACUGGAACUGAGACACGGUCCAGACUCCUACGGGAGGCAGCAGUGGGGAAUAUUGGACAAUGGGCGAAAGCCUGAUCCAGCCAUGCCGCGUGUGUGAAGAAGGUCUUCGGAUUGUAAAGCACUUUAAGUUGGGGAGGAAGGGCAUUAACCUAAUACGUUAGUGUUUUGACGUUACCGACAGAAUAAGCACCGGCUAACUCUGUGCCAGCAGCCGCGGUAAUACAG
rnacentral:rRNA from 1 species